rnacentral:misc_RNA from 1 species
CCGAGUUAUCCAACUCCCAACCCCUGUGAAUUAUACCUUUAUUGUUGCCUUCGGCGGACUUCAGCCGCGCCCGUAACGGGGACGCCGCAGAACCUUAACUAUGUUUUAUAGUGAAUCUUCUGAGUGUAUAAAAAAAUAAAUCA